rnacentral:rRNA from 1 species
GACGAGAACGUCUGGUCUGGCUUCUGGUCAGUACUGGAUGGAUCGAGUCUUUUUUCUGGGGAAGCGAAGUGCUCUUCAGUGGGUGCUUCGGGGAACCAGGACGAUUACCUUGAGAAAAAUAGAGUGUUCAAAGCAGGCGAUUGCUUGAAUACAUUAGCAUGGAAUAAUGAAAUAGGACUUUGGUUCUAUUUUGUUGGUUUUGAGGACCAAUGUC